rnacentral:rRNA from 1 species
AGGAUGAACGCUGGCGGCGUGCUUAACACAUGCAAGUCGAACGAUGAAGGCUGGAGCUUGCUCUGGCUGGAUUAGUGGCGAACGGGUGAGUAACACGUGAGUAACCUGCCCCAGACUCUGGGACAAGCGCUGGAAACGGCGUCUAAUACCGGAUACGAGCUUCCACCGCAUGGUGAGGAGCUGGAAAGAAUUUCGGUCUGGGAUGGACUCGCGGCCUAUCAGCUUGUUGGUGAGGUAAUGGCUCACCAAGGCGACGACGGGUAGCCGGCCUGAGAGGGUGACCGGCCACACUGGGACUG